rnacentral:rRNA from 1 species
UACGUAGGUGGCAAGCGUUGUCCGGAUUUAUUGGGUUUAAAGGGUGCGUAGGCGGCUUAAUAAGUCAGUGGUGAAAGCCGAUCGCUUAACGAUCGAACUGCCAUUGAUACUGCUAGGCUUGAGUAUAGUUGAGGUAGGCGGAAUUGACAGUGUAGCGGUGAAAUGCAUAGAUAUUGUCAAGAACACCAAAUUGCGAAAGGCAGCUUACUAAAAGUAUAACUGACGCUGAGGCAACGAAAAGUGCGGGGGAUCAAAACAGG